GGAAGCAAUUACCGUGAUGGAAGUUUUAAUGCAAAUGGGGCUCUCCUGUCCGUGUGUAUUGUAUCCGGAUGCAUAGGUAUUCACGAAACUACUUAUAAAUUUUUCGGGAAACCUAGAGAUUAAACACCGCGAUGGGACUACUAUAAAAGGCUAGAGCUCUAUCCUAACAACGCGCACGUGUGGGUAUCAAUUCGUCUUCCACACGGAAUGGAAAUGAAGCAUAAAAGACGAGGAAUCGUCAGAAGUCCGUCUAGUCGUCCAGGUAAAAUCAUUAAACUUAGUCGGAAAACCAAAAUGAUACCAGAGCACCCCAGGGGUGGUGGUGCUGGAAAGCAGCUUCUCCCUCGUUGGAUGGAGUCGUGUUGCAGUG